AUUUCCGAAUGGGGAAACCCGACCCUUUAGGGUCAUCGUACGGUGAAUUCAUAGCCGUGCGAGGCGAACCCGGGGAACUGAAACAUCUCAGUACCCGGAGGAAAGGACAUCAACCGAGACUCCGUCAGUAGCGGCGAGCGAACGCGGACCAGGCCAGUGGCAUCAUUGAAGCAACCGGAAUCGUCUGGAAAGGCGAGCGAGAGUGGGUGACAGCCCCGUACGGAUCAAGCUUCUUUGGUGUCCUCGAGUAGGGCGGGGCACGUGAAACCCUGUCUGAAUUUAGGGGGACCACCCUCUAAGCCUAAGUACUCCUCGACGACCGAUAGUGAACAAGUACCGUGAGGGAAAGGUGAAAAGCACCCCGAUUAGGGGAGUGAAA
rnacentral:rRNA from 14 species